ensembl:misc_RNA Metazoa_SRP Metazoan signal recognition particle RNA
GCCAGGCAUGGUGGCUCGUGCCUGUAAUCCCAGCUACUCGGGGGGCUGAGACAGGAGAAUCACUUGAACUCAGGAGACAGAGGUUGCAGUGAGCUGAAAUCAUGCCACUGCACUCCAUCCUGGGCAACAGAGUGAGAUCUUGUUUCAA